AGAUUUAUGAAGUUUUAAUAUACGGGAAAGAAAUACAGAACAAACAAACGAGAAGUCCUGAUUACCGCAUAGGCAUGAUGCCACCAUGAUGUCACUGCUGGCGAGAGCAAAGAUGCAUGAACUCGAUGCAUGGCUAGUUUGCUUCUGCACAAACGUGUCUUGCAUUGCUGUAGCUGUCAUCCUUGCAUGGCAGAUGGCUUCGUACGUACGUGGCUUCCUUUCCAGGGCUACCAUCAUGUUGCUCGGACCUCCAUGCAUGGCCUGUGCUUUGCACCUGAUGGCUAGCAGCGGCUGCAAAGAGACAGGAGGUGGCUUCAGCUGAGUCGGCAUGGAGCAACAGGGCACGGUCAUAAGCAGUACGAGUUGCAGGUAGCAUGGAUUCGGGAGAAAAGAUGGACGGAGGUGUGCAUGCGAAGAUAGCUGAUGAUAAGCACAAAGCUUCUGAUCCUAACAUGCAUGUAGGUGAAGAGAGAGAGAUCGAGAGCUGAAUUAUUGCUCAAAAUAUGAUGGACGCAUGACAUCACCGGAGUACAUAGAGAAUAAAAUAAUAUGGCCAAGGAACUAUACAUGCAGGAGCCACAAAUUCCUCCAGGCGGCGGCGACGUCUUCAGUCCGUGGCGGCGCUCCGGCGGCGGUGCUUGGCGGAGGCGGC
rnacentral:lncRNA from 1 species